rnacentral:rRNA from 1 species
UACGGAGGGUGCAAGCGUUAUCCGGAUUCACUGGGUUUAAAGGGUGCGUAGGCGGGUUGGUAAGUCCGUGGUGAAAUCUCCGAGCUUAACUCGGAAACUGCCGUGGAUACUAUCAAUCUUGAAUAUCGUGGAGGUAAGCGGAAUAUGUCAUGUAGCGGUGAAAUGCUUAGAUAUGACAUAGAACACCAAUUGCGAAGGCAGCUUACUACGGAACUAUUGACACUGAGGCUCGAAAGCGUGGGGAUCAAACAGG